CCUACGGGAGGCAGCAGUAGGGAAUCUUCCACAAUGGACGAAAGUCUGAUGGAGCAACGCCGCGUGAGUGAAGAAGGGUUUCGGCUCGUAAAGCUUUGUUGGUAGUGAAGAAAGAUAGAGGUAGUAACUGGCUUUUAUUUGACGGUAAUUACUUAGAAAGUCACGGCUAAGGACGUUCCAGCAGCUGCGGUAAUACGUAGGUGGCAAGCGUUGUUCGGUUUUAUUGGGCGUAAAGCGAGUGCAGGCGGUUCAAUAAGUCUGAUGUGAAAGCCUUCGGCUCAACCGGAGAAUUGCAUCAGAAACUGGUGAACUUGAGUGCAGAAGAGGAGAGUGGAACUCCAUGUGUAGCGGUGGAAUGCGUAGAUAUAUGGAAGAACACCAGUGGCGAAGGCAGCUCUCUGGUCUGCAACUGACGCUGAGACUCGAAAGCGUGGGUAGCGAACAGGAUUAGAUACCCUAGUAGUC
rnacentral:rRNA from 1 species